GUCUUGUGCUGGAAAAGGGCCUAUCACCUACCUUCCUCUGGACCAGCUUUUGCAGAUGAAUUACUCUCUACCAUGGUCUUAGAAGGAGCAGUCAAGAAUGCCUCCCUUCCUUACCAUGCUGGCCUGGGCUGUUCAUGCCAGACUGCUUGCUCUGCUCUGUGAUCUGCAGAGGACUUUCAAGCACAACCUGGAGACAGAGUGUGGGCAGGGGGCCACAGAGCUCAGCUGCAGCUGAGAAGGGGUUUUCCCUUCUGGUCCUCUGCCAGUGCCAAGGAAGCCAAGAGAAGAUGAGACCAUGCUUCUGCAAAUGCAAAUAAAGAGACCUGCAGGUACAACUUCAU
rnacentral:lncRNA from 1 species